AGCCAUGUGCCUUCUGAGCUAACAGAGGUUUCCUGAAUGCCAAUGGCCAUCCUUCAGUGAAGAAAUCAAAGUUAGCUUUUUUCAACUUGGCAAGAAUAAAUUUUCAAGGGACUUUGAAGUCCAGGUAAGUUUAAUACCAUCAUGACAUUGUGUAAUGGGCAUGAAAAAGACAGUAAUAAAAUUUAUUUCAAUUACUUGUAACUUA